rnacentral:lncRNA from 1 species
GUCGUCACUUGCUGUGAACCAAUGGACUGCUGUGACGUGACUGGGGUGAUUGGGAGGAGUCAGUAGGGUAUUUAAGGCACGCCCCAGGUUGUUUGGCGGAUUUCGUUCCUGCAUUGCAAUGUGAAGUGUUCCUGAAGAAACCUGCUUGAAGAAGGACAACAUGGUGUUGCGUCUUUCCUGCUGGUUGGGGUGGAUGCGACAAGUGGUGGAACCCGAACGGAGACUUCUGCUUCACGAGAGCUCUGCGGGUCCAGAACUUCAAGAGGUCAGGGUAGUCGGCUGGAAAGCUCCCAGGACUGCCGCCAGCCGUUGCGGGUACCUGAACCACUGACUCGAGUGCUGAAGGAUGACCAGAGAUGUGAUGCUGAUUCUCCUGGGAAUACUGAUGAUGGUGACAGGAUGCAGAAGUGAGGAGCUAAAUCAGAGAGUUGAUCUAGUGCAGGAACAAGUUGAUGUAUUGAUGUGAGUGGAUCUCACAGGGAACUGGUCACGUCAGCUUGAUGGUAUGCUGAGGGAUCGCCAACAGUCCAUUGUUCACAUCAUCACAGCAAUAUCACACCUCAAGGAAUGGGCUGGCAUAGGAGGGCUGGCAAUCAUCUGCGUUGCCACAGGAGUAAUGGCCCUGUGGUGCAUUUGAAAUAUGCAAAAUAAGGCAUACCUGUACGCAGGCACUGUUGAUUCAGGCUUAUGCAGCCCUAGAGCUGGGACAAUCUUCUCAAGUAUGGCUUGGCAUGCUAGAGAAUUAGUCAGUGAUGGGUAAGACUCCCUGGAGGUGUUACCAACCUAAGACAGGGACCAGACCACUGCUGUCUGUCCUCCUGAUGAUGGGUAAGGAGCAUUAUCGCAGGGGGAAACCUAAGACAGGCAUUCUCUCUGCCAAAAUAACAAAUAAGGGGGAGAUGUGAGGAGCGGGUGCGGCCGCUGCCCCAAGAUGGCGCCCGGGACGGCUGCCAGGUCUUAUGACCUGCACCUGACUUCCUCAUUACCUCAGACUUAGCCACAUCCCAGCCACCUGCACUGCACAGACGCCAUGCCUCGUCAGCUCACCUGAGGUGUCGUCACUUGCUGUGAACCAAUGGACUGCUGUGACGUGACUGGGGUGAUUGGGAGGAGUCAGUAGGGUAUUUAAGGCACGCCCCGGGGUUGUUCGGUGGAUUCCCGUUCCUGCAUUGCAAUGUGAAGUGUUCCUGAAUAAACCUGCUUGAAGAAGGA